GAACGCGAAGAACCUUACCCGGGCUUGAAUUGCAGACGAACGAUUCAGAGAUAAAGAGGCCCUUCGGGGCGUCUGUGAAGGUGCUGCAUGGUUGUCGUCAGCUCGUGCCGUGAGGUGUCGGCUUAAGUGCCAUAACGAGCGCAACCCCUUUUCUUAGUUGCCAUCAGGUAAUGCUGGGCACUCUGGGAAUACUGCCACCGUAAGGUGUGAGGAAGGUGGGGAUGACGUCAAAUCAGCACGGCCCUUACGUCCGGGGCUACACACGUGUUACAAUGGCCGGUACAGAAGGCAGGUUGCAUGUAAGUGCGAUCGAAUCUUAAAAGCCGGUCCCAGUUCGGACUGAGGUCUGCAACCCGACCUCACGAAGCUGGAUUCGCUAGUAAUCGCGCAUCAGCCAUGGCGCGGUGAAUACGUUCCCGGGUCUUGUACACACC
rnacentral:rRNA from 1 species